AGUAAGGGGUUAUAGUAAGUCGGCGGCGCAAGCCUAUGAUAAUUGCGUUGAGCCCACUCCGCCUAGAAAAGCUCGUGUUAGUGUACCGCCACCCGUACCGCAAACCGACACUGGUAGGCUGGGGUAAGAACCCUAAGGUGAUCGAGAGAACCCUCGUUAAGGAACUCGGCAAUCUAACCCCGUAACUUAGGGAGAAGGGGUGCCCUUGAUGGUGAUGGGACUUGCUCCCGGAGCUUUUGAGGGUUGCAGAGAAAAGGCCCAGGCGACUGUUUAACAAAAACACAGGUCUCUGCCAAAGCGUAAGCUCAAGUAUAGAGGCUGACGCCUGUCCAGCGCCGGAAGGUUAAGGGGAGGGGUUAGGACUUCGGUCCGAAGCUCUGAACUUAAGCCCCGGUUAGCGACGGCCGUAACUAUAACGGUCCUAAGGUAGCGAAGUCCCUUGUCAGGUAAGUUCUGACCUGCACGAAAGGCGUAACGACUUGGGCGCUGUCUCAACGAGAGACUCGGCGAAAUUGAACUGACUGUGAAGAUGCAGUCUACCUGCAGCAGGACGAAAAGACCCCGUGGAGCUUUACUGUAGCUUGGCGCUGGAGUUCGGGCCUAGAUGCGUAGGAUAGGUGGGAGGCUAUGAGCCGUCGCUUUCGGGCGGCGGGGAGCCAAUGGUGAAAUACCACUCUUCUAUGUUUGGGCUCCUAACCUGUGAGCAAGCACGGGAACAGCGUCUGGUGGGCAGUUUGACUGGGGCGGUCGCCUCCCAAAAGGUAACGGAGGCGCGCAAUGGUUCCCUCAGGGUGGAUGGCAAUCACCCAUUGAGUGCAUUGGCAUAAGGGAGCUUGACUGCGAGACGUACAUGUCGAGCAGGGACGAAAGUCGGCCAAAGUGAUCCCAUGGUUCCGAGUGGAAGGGCCAUGGCUUAACGGAUAUAAGCUACCCCGGGGAUAACAGGCUAAUUCUGCCCAAGAGUUCACAUCGACGGCAGGGUUUGGCACCUCGAUGUCGGCUCGUCGCAUCCUGGGGCUGCAUCAGGUCCCAAGGGUUGGGCUGUUCGCCCAUUAAAGCGGUACGCGAGCUGGGUUCAGAACGUCGUGAGACAGUUCGGUCUCUAUCCGCUGUGGGCGCAGGAGGCUUGAGGAGAGCUGCCCCUAGUACGAGAGGACCGGGGUGGACGGACCUCUGGUGUGCCGGUUGUCCUGCCAAGGGCAUCGCCGGGUAGCCAUGUCCGGAACGGAUAAGCGCUGAAAGCAUCUAAGCGCGAAGCCAACUUCAAGAUGAGGCCUCCCACCGGGUGAACCGGGUAAGACCGCGGGAAGACUACCCGCUUGAUAGGCUGCAAGUGUAAGUAGCAGUAAUGCACUUAGCUAAGCAGUACUAAUGGUCGAGGGCUUGACCCU
rnacentral:rRNA from 1 species